rnacentral:rRNA from 1 species
AGCUUGACUGCGAGCGUGACGGCGCGAGCAGGUGCGAAAGCAGGUCAUAGUGAUCCGGUGGUUCUGAAUGGAAGGGCCAUCGCUCAACGGAUAAAAGGUACUCCGGGGAUAACAGGCUGAUACCGCCCAAGAGUUCAUAUCGACGGCGGUGUUUGGCACCUCGAUGUCGGCUCAUCACAUCCUGGGGCUGAAGUAGGUCCCAAGGGUAUGGCUGUUCGCCAUUUAAAGUGGUACGCGAGCUGGGUUUAGAACGUCGUGAGACAGUUCGGUCCCUAUCUGCCGUGGGCGCUGGAGAACUGAGGGGGGCUGCUCCUAGUACGAGAGGACCGGAGUGGACGCAUCACUGGUGUUCGGGUUGUCAUGCCAAUGGCACUGCCCGGUAGCUAAAUGCGGAAGAGAUAAGUGCUGAAAGCAUCUAAGCACGAAACUUGCCCCGAGAUGAGUUCUCCCUGACCCUUUAAGGGUCCUGAAGGAACGUUGAAGACGACGACGUUGAUAGGCCGGGUGUGUAAGCGCAGCGAUGCGUUGAGCUAACCGGUACUAAUGAACCGUGAGG